GUGUACUUAGCUCAAUGGUUAGAGCAUCACUCAUGAAUGCUGAGUAUGUGAGUUUGACACUCACAGUACACG
rnacentral:tRNA from 1 species